rnacentral:rRNA from 1 species
ACUCCUACGGGAGGCAGCAGUGGGGAAUAUUGGCACAAUGGGGGGAAACCCUGAUGCAGCCAUGCCCGCGUGUGUGAAGAAGGGCCUUCGGGUUUGUAAAGCACUUUCAGUAGGGAGGAAGGUAGUGCUAGUUAACACCUGCACUAUUUGACGUUACCUACAGAAGAAGCACCGGCUAACUCCGUGCCAGCAGCCGCGGUAAUACGGAGGGUGCGAGCGUUAAUCGGAAUUACUGGGCGUAAAGCGCAUGCAGGCGGCCUGUUAAGUCAGAUGUGAAAGCCCGGGGCUUAACCUCGGAAUUGCAUUUGAAACUGGCAGGCUAGAGUCUUGUAGAGGGGGUAGAAUUUCAGGUGUAGCGGUGAAAUGCGUAGAGAUCUGAAGGAAUACCGGUGGCGAAGGCGGCCCCCUGGACAGAUACUGACACUCAGAUGCGAAAGCGUGGGGAGCAAACAGGAUUAGAUACCCUGGUAG